rnacentral:rRNA from 1 species
GGGUAGUUUGACUGGGGCGGUCUCCUCCUAAAGAGUAACGGAGGAGCACGAAGGUUGGCUAAUCCUGGUCGGACAUCAGGAGGUUAGUGCAAUGGCAUAAGCCAGCUUGACUGCGAGCGUGACGGCGCGAGCAGGUGCGAAAGCAGGUCAUAGUGAUCCGGUGGUUCUGAAUGGAAGGGCCAUCGCUCAACGGAUAAAAGGUACUCCGGGGAUAACAGGCUGAUACCGCCCAAGAGUUCAUAUCGACGGCGGUGUUUGGCACCUCGAUGUCGGCUCAUCACAUCCUGGGGCUGAAGUAGGUCCCAAGGGUAUGGCUGUUCGCCAUUUAAAGUGGUACGCGAGCUGGGUUUAGAACGUCGUG